rnacentral:lncRNA from 1 species
UCUUCACUAUCCUAGUUAUCAUGAAUCCAUAAAUUCAAGUGAUCAACACUACACCACAAACUCAUUAAACACUGAAGUAACAACAUAGAAAUAUUGAGAUCUCUGCAAGGGACCAGCCCAAAACUUAUGCUAGGAGGCCCAAACCCGAUAAGGGCAAGAAUGUAAUUGACUAAUCUAAAGAAGGAGCUGGAUAAUAGAGGAGGAAUUAGGGAUAUGUUUUUUUAUGUCUUUUGUGUAAUGAAACUCUAGGGCUUGGGGGAGAUUGCUAAAGGGCAAUACAUUAAUGGGUUACAGGAAGAAAUCAAGUCGGAAAUUCGACUACUGGGACCAGUCAGUUUAGACCAGGCCAUGGACCUCUCCAUUAAAGUAGAGGAUAAGUUGCGUGCAACGCAGAGCCGUUCUGGCAAAGGGAAUGGGUCCAGUUUUAAGGCCUCGUCAUCUAUCUACUCAGGUACAUUGUUUAUCCCUCCUAAGUCACCUUCUAGUUUAUAUAGUCCAUCGUCGCGCUCACUUUCUGUGCAGUCCCAAUCUGCCACUUCACCCUCUAGUGGGUUUCCUAAGGACUCAACUAGAUUGCCGGUAGCCAAACCAUUUGGGGAGGUGCGCCGGCUCACGGAUAAAGAGCUCCAGUUAAAAAGACAAAAGGGAGAAUGCUUUCGUUGUGAUGAGAAGUGGGCGGUUGGGCACAAAUGUAAAAAAAAGGAACUCAGUGUCAUUUUACUACAAGAGGAUGGAGAGGAGGAGGAGGAGUCUCCACGGUUUGAUUCUGAGGGUUUCGUAGUUGAGGCAGAAGAUGGGCAAGGCAGUGAACAUUCGGUGAUAUCCCUCAAUUCGGUUGUAGGCCUGACCACUCCUCAAACCAUGAAGUUACGGGGCACGAUGUCGGGAACGGAGGUGGUAGUGUUGAUUGAUCCAGGGGCCUCCCAUAACUUCAUCUCCAUUGAUGCAGUGAAUAAGUUGGGUAUUCCGAUCACGUCGACUAAAGCAUUUGGGGUGACAUUGGGUACGGGCGAGGCGGUGCAAGGGCAAGGUGAGUGCAAGCAAGUGGUUCUGGAACUCCCAAACCUCACUGUGGUGGAGGAUUAUCUGCCUCUACACCUCAGAAGUUCUGAUGUGAUUUUGGGGAUACAGUGGUUGGAGAAAUUAGGUACCAUGACAGCUAAUUGGAAGACGCAGACACUGGUAUGCUCUGUGAAUGGCCAGAAAGUAAAGAUACAAGGGGAACCAUCGCUUAGUCGCACACAGAUCUCGCUGAAAGCAAUGUUACGUACGCUACGAAAAGAGCGUAAUGGAUACUUGGUGGAGCUUAAUCAUAUGGGGGUGCAGGGUACAGUUGAGUUGAAGGAGGCAGAAAGAGUGGCGAGUCCUGAUUUCCUACAACCAGUGUUGCAGAAGUAUGCUCGAGUGUUCGACAUGCCCAAAGGCCUUCCACCUUCUAGAGGGUCUGAGCACAAAAUUAUACUCAAGGAGGGAACGAAUCCAGUCAGUGUUCGGCCUUACAGAUAUCCGCAAGUGCAAAAGGACGAGAUCGAAUCUUUGGUUCGAGAUAUGCUCGCUGCUGGAAUUAUUCAGGUGUCACACAGCCCGUUUUCCAGCCCAGUCCUUGUCAAGAAGAAAGACGGAUCCUGGCGCUUCUGUGUUGACUACCGCGCCUUGAACAAAGUCACUAUUGCGGAUAAAUACCCCAUUCCAGUCAUCGACGAGCUGCUUAACGAGCUUCAUGGCUCCAGAUUUUUUACCAAGCUUGACCUCAAGUCCGGGUACCACCAGAUCAGAGUAAGGGCGGAAGAUGUGCCCAAAACAGCAUUCCGGACACACGAAGGACACUACGAAUUCCUCGUAAUGCCUUUCGGGCUAACCAAUGCGCCGGCUACAUUUCAAGCAUUGAUGAACACGAUUUUCAAGCCGUUCCUUCGGAAGUUUGUCUUGGUUUUCUUUGACGACAUCCUCGUCUACAGCCCGACACCUGAUUUGCAUGUCCAGCAAGUAGAAACUGUGCUCCGAUUGUUGGCAGAAAAUCAGUUAUAUGCUAAUGCCAAAAAGUGUGAUUUUGGCAGAACCGAGCUUUCCUACCUGGGUCACAGAAUAUCGAGUGAAGGGGUGUCGGUUGACAGCAGUAAAAUUCAGGCGAUGCAAGAUUGGGCCAUUCCCAGAUCGAUUAAAGAACUUAGAGGCUUUCUGGGCCUCACGGGCUACUACCGCAAGUUCAUCGCGGGGUAUGCUAUGAUUGCACAACCCCUCACGGAACAACUGAAGAAGGAUCAAUUCUGUUGGGGGUCUGAGGCGACUGAGGCAUUUAACAGAUUAAAGUUGGCCAUGAUGAGUACUCCGGUGUUGGCCAUGCCAGACUUCAAUAAAUCAUUUGUGCUAGAAACGGAUGCUUCGGGUGUUGGGGUGGGAGCAGUAUUACUUCAAGAAGGGCAUCCUAUAUCCUACUUCAGUAAACUAUUAGGCCCUCGAGCUCAGUUAAAGGCCAUUUAUGAAAAAGAGUUAAUGGCGAUAGUCUUGGCUGUUUUGAAGUGGCGGCAUUAUCUUUUGGGGCGUCAUUUCCUCAUCCGCACAGACCAGCAGAGUCUCAAAUUUAUCAUGGAACAACGGGAAAUCAACCCGGCCUACCAGAAAUGGGUGAGCAAACUACUGGGCUACAACUUUGAGAUUCAAUACCGGGCUGGUCGAACAAAUGUCGUAGCCGACGCCUUGUCCAGAAAAAAUCACGAACAGGCAGAGUUGGGGGAGUUGCUAGCAUCCAGUGGGGUGCAUUGGAGCAAGUUCGAACAGGUCCUCAAGAGUGACCCUUUUAUUCUGAAACUCAGCCAGGAUUUGACAAACGGGCAGUCAGCUCCGAAAGGGUAUUAUAUGGAUCAAGGGGUACUGAAGUACAAAGGCCGUUUAGUGAUCCCUAAUAGGCCAGAAUUGGUGCAACCUCUAUUGAUGGAAUACCAUGACUCACCGCUGGGGGGCCACUCCGGCAGCCUCAAGACUUAUAAGAGGCUUGCAGCAGAAUGGUUUUGGCCGGGGAUGCGUCAAUCCAUCACACAGUAUGUUCUGGCCUGUUCAGUUUGUCAACAACAGAAGCAUUCAACCCUUAGCCCAGCUGGAUUACUUCAGCCACUGCCGAUACCAAAUCGAGUAUGGGAAGACAUUUCCCUCGACUUUAUUGAGGGCCUUCCGAAAUCUGAAGGUUUUGACUCGGUGUUAGUGGUCGUUGAUCGACUCACUAAAUACGCUCAUUUUCUGACUCUUCACCACCCGUUCACAGCCCUCACAGUAGCAGACAAGUUUGUGAAAGAGAUAGUACGCCUGCACGGGUUUCCUUCGUCGAUAGUGUCUGAUCGGGACAAGAUAUUCUUGAGUGUCUUUUGGAAAGAACUCUUCAAGCUACAAGGAACAGCCUUAUGCAAGAGCACCGCGUAUCAUCCUCAAUCGGAUGGACAAACGGAGGUUGUGAAUAAAUGUCUGGAAACCUACCUUCGCUGCUUCAUUAAUGGGAAACCGAAGAGUUGGGCGAAGUGGAUUUCGUGGGCAGAAUACUGGUAUAAUUCCUCUUAUCAUGUAUCUACAGGCUUUACCCCGUUCAAGGCUCUGUACGGGCGUGAUCCACCUACUCUGACUCGCCUUUCCAGAGACCAAACUGCAGUCUCAACAUUGGAGGAUCAGCUGCUUGAACGUGAUGCUGUGUUGGAUGAUUUGAAGGCUAAUUUGAUUAAGGCCCAACAGAGAAUGAAAUAUCAGGAAGAUAGCUCAAGACGGGACCUAGAAUUUGCAGUGGGUGAGAAAGUGUUUCUCAAACUUCAACCAUAUCGACAACAGACGGUGCACCAACGUUCCUGUAACAAGUUAGCAGCCAAGUUUUAUGGGCCCUUUACUAUUUUGCAGCGGGUUGGUAAGGUGGCAUACCGCCUCCAGUUACCAGAAUCUUCUAAAAUCCAUCCCGUGUUCCACAUCUCGCAACUGAAGAAAGCCGUGGGAGCCUUUGUGGUGGCAACUACACUUCCCAGGCUUUUGAAUGAUUCCUUACUGGCCGUGGGUACUCCAGAAAAGGUGCUGGGGAUAAGGCAUAUGUCUGCAGACCGAACAGGAGAGGUUGAAGUGCUGAUCAAAUGGGAAGGGCUGCCGGAGUAUGAUUCUACCUGGGAAGCAUUUGUUACUUUUGAUCAGAUGUUCCCGGACUUUCACCUUGAGGACAAGGUGGCUCUUUGGGCCCGUGGUGANAGCUAUAAUGAAUUAAAAGGAACAACAUAAAGAGUGAAACAUGUGAAUUUGCAUUUCAACUAUUAUAUGUUAAUUCAAGGUGUUUCUACGCAUCAAAGAUGCAAAAUGAAGUCAACGGAAUGUUUUAUAGCCAUUUGUGCCCCAGAGCUUGGGUCCUUAGGCUGUCACAUAUACGGCCCUAGGUUCCAAGUUACCUUCUUCCUCAAAGAAAGCAAACAAAAUUUCAAACAACCAAAUGCUCUUCACUAUCCUAGUUAUCAUGAAUCCAUAAAUUCAAGUGAUCAACACUACACCACAAACUCAUUAAACACUGAAGUAACAACAUAGAAAUAUUGAGAUCUCUGCAAGGGACCAGCCCAAAACUUAUGCUAGGAGGCCCAAACCCGAUAAGGGCAAGAAUGUAAUUGACUAAUCUAAAGAAGGAGCUGGAUAAUAGAGGAGGAAUUAGGGAUAUGUUUUUUUAUGUCUUUUGUGUAAUGAAAC